rnacentral:rRNA from 1 species
GUGGGGAAUCUUAGACAAUGGGCGCAAGCCUGAUCUAGCCAUGCCGCGUGAGCGAUGAAGGCCUUAGGGUUGUAAAGCUCUUUCGUGGGGGAAGAUAAUGACUGUACCCCAAGAAGAAGCCCCGGCUAACUCCGUGCCAGCAGCCGCGGUAAUACGGAGGGGGCUAGCGUUGUUCGGAAUUACUGGGCGUAAAGCGCACGUAGGCGGACUGGAAAGUCAGGGGUGAAAUCCCCGGUCUCAACCCCGGAACUGCCUUUGAAACUCCCAGGCUUGAGUUCGAGAGAGGUGAGUGGAAUUCCGAGUGUAGAGGUGAAAUUCGUUGAUAUUCGGAGGAAAACCAGUGGCGAAGGCGGCUCACUGGCUCGAUACUGACGCUGAGGUGCGAAAGCGUGGGGAGCAAACAGGAUUAGAAACCCUUGUAGUCC